UUCUUGAUGAUCUAGUGGUUAAGACUCUGCACUUUCAUUGCAGGAGAUGCAGGUUCAAACCCUAGUCCAGUAA
rfam:Ovis aries breed Texel chromosome 15, whole genome shotgun sequence.